CACGUAGGCGGCUUUGUAAGUCAGGGGUGAAAGCCUGGAGCUCAACUCCAGAACUGCCUUUGAGACUGCAUCGCUUGAAUCCGGGAGAGGUAAGUGGAAUUCCGAGUGUAGAGGUGAAAUUCGUAGAUAUUCGGAAGAACACCAGUGGCGAAGGCGGCUUACUGGACCGGGAUUGACGCUGAGGUGCGAAAGCGUGGGAGCAAACA
rnacentral:rRNA from 1 species